rnacentral:rRNA from 1 species
UGGGGAAUAUUGGACAAUGGGCGCAAGCCUGAUCCAGCAAUGCCGCGUGAGUGAUGAAGGCCUUAGGGUUGUAAAGCUCUUUCGCACGCGACGAUGAUGGCGGUAGCGUGAGAAGAAGCCCCGGCUAACUUCGUGCCAGCAGCCGCGGUAAUACGAAGGGGGCUAGCGUUGUUCGGAAUUACUGGGCGUAAAGGGCGCGUAGGCGGCCUGUUUAGUCAGAAGUGAAAGCCCCGGGCUCAACCUGGGAAUAGCUUUUGAUACUGGCAGGCUUGAGUUCCGGAGAGGAUGGUGGAAUUCCCAGUGUAGAGGUGAAAUUCGUAGAUAUUGGGAAGAACACCGGUGGCGAAGGCGGCCAUCUGGACGGACACUGACGCUGAGGCGCGAAAGCGUGGGGAGCAAACA